rnacentral:rRNA from 1 species
ACCAGUUUUGAGUUUGAACAGCUCAGACGACGCGGCGGCGUCCUAAUCAUCAAUUGAGCGACAGAUGGAAGCUUUUCCUUAGUUUACGGGGGGCCGGGGGUAACACGUGGGGAACCUCCCGUAAGAGUUGGGUAAUUUCGGGAAACCGGGGUUAUUCCCGGAGUUUAUUUACCCCCCGGUUAAAUUAAAAAGGGGUUUUAGCUUCACUUACAGAUGGACCCGCGGCGCAUUAGCUAGUUGGUGAGGUAACGGCUCACCAAGGCAACGAUGCGUAGCCGACCUGAGAGGGUGAUCGGCCACCCUGGGGAUGAGACACGGCCCAGACUCCUACGGGAGGCAGCCGUAGGGAAUUUUCCGCAAUGGACGAAAGUCUGACGGAGCAACGCCGCGUGAGUGAUGAAGGUUUUCGGAUUGUAAAACUUUGUUGUUAGGGAAGAACAAGUACCGUUCGAAUAGGGCGGUACCUUGACGGUACCUAACCAGAAAGCCACGGCUAACUACGUGCCAGCAGCCGCGGUAAUACGUAGGUGGCAAGCGUUGUCCGGAAUUAUUGGGCGUAAAGCGCGCGCAGGCGGUUUCUUAAGUCUGAUGUGAAAGCCCCCGGCUCAACCGGGGAGGGUCAUUGGAAACUGGGGAACUUGAGUGCAGAAGAGGAGAGUGGAAUUCCACGUGUAGCGGUGAAAUGCGUAGAGAUGUGGAGGAACACCAGUGGCGAAGGCGACUCUCUGGUCUGUAACUGACGCUGAUGCGCGAAAGAACGCCC